rnacentral:lncRNA from 1 species
GACAAGGUAAGAUGAUACAAGUGACAUUUUCCAGUUCUCACCAAAGAGGACUAUGGCCAGAAAGGAGGAAGUGAGUGAAAGUGAAGAAUAUGUAUACAGAAUCAGCACAACAGAGGAGUGGGAGGCACUGCUUCAUCAGGUUAACUACUCUAAUUCUCAUAUUCCAUCCUUAUUUACAUUUCUUUUUUUUCCCUGCGCUGGCUUAACUGGUACUAGUAUAUUAAACUAUUAAUAGUAAUAAUAGAUAUUAGUAGUAAUAAUAAAUAUAUAGUACUCGUAUAGAUAAAUCUUCCAUAGGCAUUGUAUCUUUCCAAUUAAAGGUUGUUUUUUGUUUCUUUCAAAUAAGAAAAACCCAGAAGUCUAACUGUCUAACCCACAUAUGAAUUGCAGAAGGGAACUUGAAAUGGUUAUUGUUUUGAUGAGCCUAACCUAAGCAUCAAAGUCGGUGUUUUUUCUUUAUUUUCAACAGUUUAGUUAAAAAAAAAAAGUAUAUGCCAAAGCUUCGUAGUUGAUAUUAUAUUAUUUUAUUAAGCUAUAAUUAUGUUAUUGAAUUGGCCUCUGGCUUUAGUAGAUAUGAAGAUUAUGAAGUAAAUUAAAGCAAUACUUCAUUUUGUGGUUUGUGAUGACUGAGCUAACUCAGUUGUAUUAAUGGAUUAACUGAAAUUCAGUUUGAAACAUGAUGAUUUAGUCCAAAUAUUUGUUUUCUUGAUGCUUGACAUGUGCAGUCAAUUUUGCAGAAAUUUUUCCUCAACUGUACCAUGAAUCUGUAUUUGCUCCAAAUUGAUGCUAGAAAGGUAAUGGUAAAAACUGCACUCAUCAAUCUAUUUCCCCAAAAUGUUGAUGCAUUUCAAGCAGGAAGUAAAUAUUUUGUUUUAAAGGGUUAAAGUUUGAAAUUUUAAGGAAGGGAAGAAUUUUUUUAGACAAGGUUAAAGUUUGAAUAUUUUUUAUAUACAAAAUCUUUGAAUAAGAGUGAGUGAACAUUAAUAACUUUUGAAGCGGCAUUACAUUUGGUACAACAAUACAAAUAUAGGUNNNNNNNNNNNNNNNNNNNNNNNNNNNNNNNNNNNNNNNNNNNNNNNNNNNNNNNNNNNNNNNNNNNNNNNNNNNNNNNNNNNNNNNNNNNNNNNNNNNNGUUUUUUUUUUUUUUUUGUUGGGGGGGGGCGGGGAUCAAUGUCCCACAGAGUGUCAUCUGCUUCAGCCCACGGGUGCAGUGAUACCUUUAAUAAUAUACCAUGUUUCCAGUUGCAGUAUUGGAAGGUUAUAGUACUUAAAUUGGCCUACAAUGUAUUACUGGUGAAAAAAGUGUGCCAAGCUAAGCUAAGUGCAGUUAUUAUUGACGUUGUUUACAGUUCUGCCUUCACUCCACUACACCCUCUCUCCAAUUUCCCUUCAAUACAGUGUUUUGUUGAUUGACAGGUGGCAUGUUUUAUAUUAAGGGACGAGAUUCAAUAUUUUCAGUCCAUAACCAACCCAUGUAAGAGAGACAUUUUGAUGGUUAAGAGAUGCUAAUUUGCCAAACUAUGUUGCAGCAAUGCAGGAUAGGUUUUGUAUAUCAAUUUACAUAAUCUGACUUGUGUACCCAGAGAAAAGUGCAUGUAGUCAUGUCAUGUUCAUUCAGGAUCAUCUAUGCUAUGGAGAAAUCAGAAUUUUAUAUACAUAUGAAUGCAUACACCCACCCACCCACCCACCCACCCACAUAUGUGUAUAUAUAUAUAUUUGUACAAGAAGAUGAUGAUGAAUGGAAAGCAUCUAGAGAACCUAGUAGUGUUGUUUGGAACUUAACUUUGAUUGGAGCAAUGUGGAUGGAGUUGUGGAUGGCUCCAAUGGUUUUCCUUGUUGCUCGAAUUUCAGUCCUCUCCCAUUAGAUGCAGUGAAGAAAGCAGAGAGGUUGAUUCCAUUAGGUGGCCAAUUCAUUUUGUAGUUUGCUAAAUUUUUUGGAAUCAUUCUUGUAAGCUUUAAGCUUAAUAUGCACCAAGUGUUAAAUAUUUCAAGCUAAUUUGAGAUAUUUGUAUAUUUGAGUCGAUUAUACUGCAAUCCGUCCAUUCUGGAAAUUGACCAUUUGAUAUUAUAAUGCCAAUGUUU